CCCAGGCAAAACUCUUUGGAGUUUUAUCCUGUAUUCAUCGUAAUGCUGUGGAUGGCUGGGUGGUACUUCAAUCAAGGAUCACCGGUUUCCGACUGAGCCUGGGGAUUUUGACCUUGCUGCCUGUCCUCGCUGUCCUGGGGGUAGCAAGCAGAUUCCUGAACGAAUACCUGGACUUUCAUGUUGCCAAGAAACUGAGGAAGCCCUUCUAAGUUUUUCUCUUCCCUUUCAUGCUUGUAGAGGCCGUCACUACUCUGAAAACAAUAAGAUGUCAUGUGUUAAAUAAAACUUUUAAAACUU
rnacentral:lncRNA from 1 species